AUGAACAAAGCUAGUGGAGGUGAUGGAAUUCCAGUUGAGCUGUUUCAAAUCCUGAAAGAUGAUGCUGUGAAAGUGCUGAACUCAAUAUCCAAGCAAAUUUGGAAAACUCAGCAGUGGCCACAGGACUGGAAAAAGUCAGUUUUCAUUCCAAUUCCAAAGAAAGGCAAUGCAAAAGAAUGCUCAAACUACUGCACAAUUGCAUUCAUCUCACACGCUAGUAAAGUAAUGCUCAAAAUUCUCCAAGCCAAGUUUCAGCAAUAUGUGAACCAUGAACUUCCUGAUGGUUUUAGAAAAGGCAGAGGAACCAGAGAUCAAAUUGCCAACAUCCACUGGAUCAUGGAAAAAGCAAGAGAGUUCCAGAAAAACAUCUAUUUCUGCUUUAUUGACCAUGUCAAAGCCUUUGACUGUAUGGAUCACAAUAAACUAUGGAGAAUUCUUCAAGAGAUGGGAAUACCAGACCACCUGACCUGCCUCUUGAGAAAUCUGUAUGCAGGUCAGGAAGCAACAAUUAGAACUGGACAUGGAACAACAGACUGGUUUCAAAUAGGAAAAGGAGUACGUCAAGGCUGUAUAUUGUCACCCUACUUAUUUAACUUCUAUGCAGAGUACAUCAUGAGAAACACUGGACUGGAAGAAACACAAGCUGGAAUCAAGAUUGCCAGGAGAAAUAUCAAUAACUGCAGAUAUGUAGAUGACAUCACCCUUACGGCAGAAAGUGAAGAGGAACUAAAAAGCCUCUUGACGAAAGUGAAAGAGGAGAGCGAAAAAGUUGGCCUAAAGCUCAACAUUCAGAAAAUGAAGAUCAUGGCAUCUGGUCCCAUCACUUCAUGGGAAAUAGAUGGGGAAACAGUGGAAACAGUGUCAGACUUUCUUUUUCUGGGCUCUAAAAUCACUGCAGAUGGUGAUUGCAGCCAUGAAAUUAAAAAACGCUUACUCCUUGGAAGGAAAGAUAUGACCAACCUAGAUAGUAUAUUGAAAAGCAGAGACAUUACUUUGCCGACUGAGGUCUGUCUAGUCAAGGCUUCGGUGUUUCCUGUGGUCAUGUAUGGAUGUGAGAGUUGGACUGUGAAGAAAGCUGAAUGCCAAAGAAUUGAUGCUUUUGAACUGUGGUGA
rnacentral:lncRNA from 1 species